GGGCCAUGUUGGAUAGGUAGCCUAACAUCCGUAAGGGAAACAGAAACAUCCAGAAGAGCAUGAAAAAUCUUUUCUACCCACCUUUCAUUAUCCUUUGAAAUAACUUGUAGGAGAAUAAAAGCAGAUGUCUGGAGAAGUCAUCAAGAAAAACCACAAAUCAAAGAGAUUUCAAACAGAAAUGUUUUUAAUGAACUGGCUGAAGGUUUUGUGUGUUUUCCCCCCGUUCCAUCCCAAUUGAUCUGAAUGUUAGUGGGAGGGUGUUCUAUCAAUCAGUACUUUUCCAAAUCUAAGUGUGCUGUCCUUCUACUAGUACUUUUUUUCAGAAGAGAAGACUUUUUUCUGCAAUCCAGGCCUACUGCUUUCCUUUUAGUCAACAGUGCAGCAACCUGGAUUUGGAAAACUUGGAGUAAAUCCUUGGCCAUC